rnacentral:rRNA from 1 species
AAGAAGGAGAUCAAGUUCAUGAGUUACAACGUCUGGUCCCGCGAGGAUGUCGUCGUGUAUAAAAGGAUGCAGGCCAUCAGCCGUGUCGUCUAUCAGCAUUCACCGGAUGUAAUUUUCUUCCAGGAAAUGACGCCAUACAUUCUCAAGAUUUUCCAGAGCUUCUCGUGGUGGAAAGAGUACCAUUCUUCACCCAUCUCCCAGGAACAACAGAAAGAGAAGAACUUCUGCAUGAUGCUGAGCAAGUUUCGUCUGGAGAACUACGCGUGCUGGAAGUUCACCACUACGGCGACAGGAAAAAGCUACCUGGAGGCCGACAUCAACCCGUGCCCGGGGUCGACGACGAUGAAGCCGAUCCGCAUAGCCACGACGCAGCUCGAGUGCCCCUGCCCGCCGGAACCGAUGCACUGCAUGGAGCGCUACACGCAGGCGGAGCACGCCGUCACGGCGCUGAGCAGUGCGGAGAACGUCGUGUUCGGUGGCGACAUGUGCUGGAACGACGACACGGACCUGCCGUUCCCUCUCCCCGACGGCUGGGCUGACGCAUCGCCUUCCGGCCGUUGGACUUACGAUGCUUUGUGGAACGAAAAGGUGGGGGAGUUCGGCGGCGCCUACAGAGCUUCAUAUAAAUCACUGCAGAGGAGAUCGGAUUGGUUUGUAUGCAAGCUGAACGAUUACAAACAGGGCAGCAUCGUCACGAUCGGGGAUCAGGAAGUUGGGGUUAAGAUCUAUAAACGGAAGUACCCCAAUUGCGACUAUGACAACCUUGUUCUGAUGCCGAGCUGCCACCGUGGGCUAGAGAUCCGAAAUUCAUCAAAUUGA